rnacentral:misc_RNA from 1 species
UCAAAUAGUCGCAAACGACGAAACUUACGCUUUAGCCGCUUAAGGCUAGCCGUUGCAGCAGUCGGUCAAUGGGCUGUGUGGCGAAAGCCACCGCAACGUCAUCUUACAUUGACUGGUUUCCAGCCGGGUUACUUGGCAGGAAAUAAGACUUAAGGUAACUGGUUUCCAAAAGGCCUGUUGGUCGGCAUGAUGGAAAUAAGAUUUUCAAAUAGACACAACUAAGUAUGUAGAACGCUUUGUAGAGGACUUUCGGACGGGGGUUCGAUUCCCCCCGCCUCCACC